rnacentral:rRNA from 1 species
GACGAACGCUGGCGGCGUGCUUAACACAUGCAAGUCGAACGGAAAGGCCCUGCUUUUGUGGGGUGCUCGAGUGGCGAACGGGUGAGUAACACGUGAGUAACCUGCCCUUGACUUUGGGAUAACUUCAGGAAACUGGGGCUAAUACCGGAUAGGAGCUCCUGCUGCAUGGUGGGGGUUGGAAAGUUUCGGCGGUUGGGGAUGGACUCGCGGCUUAUCAGCUUGUUGGUGGGGUAGUGGCUUACCAAGGGUUUGACGGGUAGCCGGCCUGAGAGGGUGACCGGCCACAUUGGGACUGCGAUACGGCCCAGAAUCGUACGGGCGGCAGCAGUGGGGAAUAUUGCACAAUGGGCGGAAGCCUGAUGCAGCAACGCCGCGUGCGGGAUAACGGCCUUCGGGUUGUGAACCGCUUUCGCCUGUAACGAAGCGUGAGUGACGGUAAUGGGUAAAGAAGCACCGGCUAACUACGUG